AAAUUGAAGAGUUUGAUCAUGGCUCAGAUUGAACGCUGGCGGCAGGCCUAACACAUGCAAGUCGAACGGUAACAGGAAGCAGCUUGCUGCUUUGCUGACGAGUGGCGGACGGGUGAGUAAUGUCUGGGAAACUGCCUGAUGGAGGGGGAUAACUACUGGAAACGGUAGCUAAUACCGCAUAACGUCGCAAGACCAAAGAGGGGGACCUUCGGGCCUCUUGCCAUCAGAUGUGCCCAGAUGGGAUUAGCUUGUUGGUGGGGUAACGGCUCACCAAGGCGACGAUCCCUAGCUGGUCUGAGAGGAUGACCAGCCACACUGGAACUGAGACACGGUCCAGACUCCUACGGGAGGCAGCAGUGGGGA
rnacentral:rRNA from 1 species